rnacentral:rRNA from 1 species
CACGUAGUUAGCCGGGGCUUCUUGGUCAGGUACCGUCAUCUUCUUCCCUGCCGAUAGGGCUUUACGCGCCGAAACGCUCCUUCACCCACGCGGCGUCGCUGCAUCAGGGUUCCCCCCAUUGUGCAAUAUCCCCCACUGCUGCCUCCCGUAGGAGUCUGGGCCGUGCCUCAGUCCCAGUGUGGCCGUCCACCCUCUCAGGCCGGCUACUGAUCGUCGCCUUGGUAGGCCGUUACCCUGCCAACCAGCUAAUCAGACGCGGGCCCAUCCUGUACCACCGGGGUUUUCCGCGCCAUGCCAUGCGGCACGCCGCGCUUAUGCGGUAUUAGCACCUGUUUCCAGGUGUUAUCCCCCAGUACAGGGCAGGUUGCCCACGCGUUACUCACCCGUCCGCCACUCGCGCGGCGCCGCAGGGGCCGAGGCCCCUGCCGCACGCCGCGCCCGUUCGACUUGCAUGUGUUAGGCACGCCGCCAGCGUUCAUCCUGAGCCAGGAUCAAACUCU